rnacentral:rRNA from 1 species
GACAGAGGGUGCAAACGUUGUUCGGAAUUACUGGGCAUAAAGCGCACGUAGGUGGUUUGUUAAGUCGCGUGUGAAAUCCCCCGGCUCAACCGGGGAAUUGCGCGCGAUACUGGCGGGCUUGAGAUCGGGAGGGGUGAGCGGAACUCCAGGUGGAGCGGUGAAAUGCGUAGAUAUCUGGAGGAACACCGGUGGCGAAAGCGGCUCACUGGCCCGACACUGACGCUGAGGUGCGAAAGCUAGGGUAGCAAACGGG